rnacentral:rRNA from 1 species
UACGUAGGGUGCAAGCGUUAAUCGGAAUUACUGGGCGUAAAGCGUGCGCAGGCGGUUUUGUAAGUCUGUCGUGAAAGCCUCGGGCUCAACCUGGGAAUUGCGAUGGAGACUGCAAGGCUUGAAUCUGGCAGAGGGGGGUAGAAUUCCACGUGUAGCAGUGAAAUGCGUAGAGAUGUGGAGGAACACCGAUGGCGAAGGCAGCCCCCUGGGUCAAGAUUGACGCUCAUGCACGAAAGCGUGGGGAGCAAACAGG